rnacentral:rRNA from 1 species
ACGCUCGACACCUACGGGAGCAGCAGUCGGGAAUAUUGCGCAAUGGAGGAAACUCUGACGCAGUGACGCCGCGUAUGGGAAGAAGGUUUUCGGAUUGUAAACCAUUUUAGACAAGGAAGAAACAAGACAGUACUUGUAGAAUAAGCUCCGGCUAACUACGUGCCAGCAGCCUGGAGUAUGAGCGGCGGUGCGAGACG